AGAGCGAACGCUGGCGGCGUGCUUAACACAUGCAAGUCGAACGAGGCCUGUAGCAAUACAGAUACUCGUGGCGAACGGGUGCGUAACACGUGGAUAACCUUCCUUCAGGUGGGGAAUAACCCAGUGAAAAUUGGGCUAAUACCGCAUAACAUGACGAUGCCACAUGGUGUUGUCUUCAAAGGCGCAAGUCGCCAGAAGAGGGAUCCGCGGCCGAUUAGCUAGUUGGCGAGGUAAUGGCUCACCAAGGCAAUGAUCGGUAGCCGGACUGAGAGGUUGGCCGGCCACACUGGAACUGAGACACGGUCCAGACACCUACGGGUGGCAGCAGUCGAGAAUUUUUCGCAAUGGACGAAAGUCUGAUGGAGCGACGCCGCGUGGAGGAUGAAGGUUCUUGGAUUGUAAACUCCUGUCACUGCAGAACAGGCUACACAUAUGAAUAGUACGUGUAGUUGAUGGUAUGCGGAGAGGAAGGGACGGCUUAACG
rnacentral:rRNA from 1 species